AUUGAACGCUGGCGGAAUGCUUUACACAUGCAAGUCGAACGGCAGCACGGACUUCGGUCUGGUGGCGAGUGGCGAACGGGUGAGUAAUGUGUCGGAACGUGCCCAGUCGUGGGGGAUAACGUAGUGAAAAUUACGCUAAUACCGCAUACGAUCUAUGGAUGAAAGCGGGGGAUCGCAAGACCUCGCGCGAUUGGAGCGGCCGAUAUCAGAUUAGGUAGUUGGUGGGGUAAAGGCCCACCAAGCCAACGAUCUGUAGCUGGUCUGAGAGGACGAACAGCCACACUGGAACUGAGACACGGUGCAGACUCCUACGGGAGGCAGCAGUGGGGAAUUUUGGACAAUGGGCGAAAGCCUGAUCCAGCCAUUCCGCGUGCAGGAUGAAGGCCCUCGGGUUGUAAACUGCUUUUGUACAGAACGAAAAGGUUUCUACUAAUACUAGGAGCUCAUGACGGUACUGUAAGAAUAAGCACCGGCUAACUACGUGCCAGCCGCCGCGGUAA
rnacentral:rRNA from 1 species